CUGGUGGACCUGUUGUGGCGCCAGCCGCAGUGCAGGGUAGCUAUGUGCGGAAGGGAUAACCGCUGAAGGCAUCUAAGCGGGAAGCCCCCCUCAAGACCAGGUCUCCCUUGAGAGCCGUGGUAGACCACCACGUCGAUAGGCCGGAGGUGUAAGCGCAGCAAUGCGUUCAGCUGACCGGUACUAAUCGCUCGAUUGGCUUGAUCUGAUCCAG
rnacentral:rRNA from 1 species